UACCUAGGGUUUUAUCUGUUGUUAAAGGCCGAUCUUCUCCGGUUGCGAAGAAGGACGGUAACUUCGUUCCUAUUCUUUGGUUCUGAUUCUUUGACUGUGUGUGUGAUUGUUUGAUUCUAGCUGUGAAUAACCUCUUUGAAUUGUGAGUACUGACUGUGUAGAUUGUGAAUAUUGAUUUUGGUGAUAUUUGCAAAAGGUUUAAU
rnacentral:lncRNA from 1 species